rnacentral:lncRNA from 1 species
AUAAUACAGGCCCUGGUUCAAAGGACCAGAUCACUCCUUCAACAGACUUCUACCUAAAGUCCCUGGAGACCUCAUAUUACCAUCAUCACCAUUUUCUAGAACAGGAGAUGACCCAGAGCCAAGAGAAACUGAGGUAUCAACACCAGAAAAGUCUUGCUCAAGGACAAAUGGGUAAAGAAAUCAAAGCCCAGGAGGUUAAUUAACUGACCCUGUGUUAACCAGAAUCAUCAUAAUGCUCAAAUGAGAACAAAGGUUCCUUAUUAAUCCUUAAGAACUUUGUAAAUGGGAAUUAUUGGUAGUAUCAAUAGAGGUGGUGAAUACAAAGAUUUUCUUCAGUAUCAUUCAAAGAGAACUUUUGUCAUAAUUAAUAUGGAGUAGUUAAUGUAAAGAAUUAUCAUUCCCAUUUAAUGAUUGAGAAGACUGAGUCCAAGAAACUAGAAUGAUAAACUAAGAAAGGAAGAAAAUCAAGAGUUGUGAAAAUAAAAAAAGAGAAGAAGAAAACUUGGCA